rnacentral:misc_RNA from 1 species
UUUCCGUAGGUGAACCUGCGGAAGGAUCAUUCAUAAUAAAGUGUUCUAUGGCACUUUUUAAAAAUCCAUACCCACCUUGUGUGCAAUGUUAGAUCUCGUCAAUCUUGGCGAGAUUUUUAUACAUCAACUCAUUCUUUAACUAAUUUGUCUGAAAAAUAUUAUGAAUACUUAAUUCAAAAUACAACUUUCAACAACGGAUCUCUUGGCUCUC